rnacentral:rRNA from 1 species
AUUGAACGCUGGCGGAAUGCUUUACACAUGCAAGUCGAACGGCAGCACGGGGGCAACCCUGGUGGCGAGUGGCGAACGGGUGAGUAAUGCAUCGGAACGUACCCAAUCGUGGGGGAUAACGUGGCGAAAGUCACGCUAAUACCGCAUACGUCCUGAGGGAGAAAGCAGGGGAUCGCAAGACCUUGCGCGAUUGGAGCGGCCGAUGUCUGAUUAGCUAGUUGGUGGGGUAAAAGCCUACCAAGGCGACGAUCAGUAGCUGGUCUGAGAGGAUGAUCAGCCACACUGGGACUGAGACACGGCCCAGACUCCUACGGGAGGCAGCAGUGGGGAAUUUUGGACAAUGGGCGAAAGCCUGAUCCAGCCAUUCCGCGUGAGUGAAGAAGGCCUCGGUUGUAAG